rnacentral:rRNA from 1 species
GGCAGCAUCCUAAGGUGGGGCUGGUGAUUGGGACGAAGUCGUAACAAGGUAGCCGUAGGGAACCUGCAGAAGGAUCA